rnacentral:rRNA from 1 species
CCUACGGGAGGCAGCAGUGAGGAAUAUUGGUCAAUGGACGAGAGUCUGAACCAGCCAAGUAGCGUGAAGGAUGACUGCCCUAUGGGUUGUAAACUUCUUUUAUAUGGGAAUAAAACGUUCCACGUGUGGGAUUUUGUCUGUACCAUAUGAAUACGGAUCGGCUAACUCCGUGCCAGCAGCCGCGGUAAUCCGGAGGAUCCGAGCGUUAUCCGGAUUUAUUGGGUUUAAAGGGAGCGUAGGUGGAUUGUUAAGUCAGUUGUGAAAGUUUGCGGCUCAACCGUAAAAUUGCAGUUGAAACUGGCAGUCUUGAGUACAGUAGAGGUGGGCGGAAUUCGUGGUGUAGCGGUGAAAUGCUUAGAUAUCACGAAGAACUCCGAUUGCGAAGGCAGUUCACUGGACUGCAACUGACACUGAGGCUCGAAAGUGUGGGUAUCAAACAGGAUUAGAUACCCGGGUAGUC